GGCCAGACUCCUACGGGAGGCAGCAGUGGGGAAUAUUGGGCAAUGGGCACAAGCCUGACCCAGCAACGCCGCGUGAAGGAAGAAGGCUUUCGGGUUGUAAACUUCUUUUGUCAGGGACGAAGCAAGUGACGGUACCUGACGAAUAAGCCACGGCUAACUCCGUGCCAGCAGCCGCGGUAAUACGGAGGAUGCGAGCGUUAUCCGGAUUUAUUGGGUUUAAAGGGUGCGUAGGCGGGUUAUCAAGUCAGCGGUAAAAUCGUGGGGCUCAACUCCAUCCAGCCGUUGAAACUGAUGAUCUUGAGUGGGCGAGAAGUAUGCGGAAUGCGUGGUGUAGCGGUGAAAUGCAUAGAUAUCACGCAGAACUCCGAUUGCGAAGGCAGCAUGCCGGCGCCCGACUGGCGCUGAAGCACGAAAGCGUGGGUAUCGAACAGGAUUAGAUACCCCUGUA
rnacentral:rRNA from 1 species